rnacentral:rRNA from 1 species
CUGUGACAACUGGGAGGUUGGCUUAGAAGCAGCCAUUCCUUUAAAGAGUGCGUAAUAGCUCACCAGUCCAGCGUAGCCGCGCCGAUAAUGGUCGGGACUUCAAGCCGCCCGCCGAAGCUAGGUCUUCAUGCGCAAGCAUGAGGGGUAGGGGAGCGUUCCCAUAGCGUUGAAGCCGGGGCGGAAGCCUUCCGGUGGAGCGGUGGGAAGUGAGGAUGCCGGAUUAAGUACGCGAGAAACAGGGUGAAAACCCCUGUCACCGUAAGCCUAAGGGUUCCUGAGCCAUGUCGAUCAGCUCAGGGUCAGUCGGUCCCUAAGUCGAGGCCGAGAGGCGUAGACGAUGGGAAACGGGUCAACAUUCCCGUACCAACUGCAAGCCGUUACGAGUCUGAGGAGGGACACAGGAGCAAGGUCACCGGCGGGUGGUGGAUUUUCCGCUGCAAGGUGGUAGACGUUUCCCGGUAGGCAAAUCCGCUGGGAUAGUCGAGAACCGAUGCCGAAGGGGCCGUAUGGCCCCGCCAAGGGUGGCUGCCGCACACUGUCGAGAAAAGCUUCGCAGACCAGGACUGCAGUUGACCGUACCGUAAUCCGACACAGGUGGGCGAGGCGAGAAGCCUAAGGGGCUCGAGUGAUUUACGGAAAAGGAACUCGGCAAAAUGACCCCGUAACUUCGGGAUAAGGGGUGCCGGCAGUAUGUGACCCGCCAAGGGGAGCAGAGACCGGCCGCAGAGAAUCGUCCCAAGCGACUGUUUAGCAAAAACACAGGUGCGUGCCAAGCCGCAUAAGGCGCCGUAUACGCACUGACGCCUGCCCGGUGCCGGAAGGUUAAGGGGAGAGGUUAGCCGCAAGGCGACGCCUUGAGCCGAAGCCCCGGUAAACGGCGGCCGUAACUAUAACGGUCCUAAGGUAGCGAAAUUCCUUGUCGGGUAAGUUCCGACCUGCACGAAUGGAGUAACGACUUGGGAGCUGUCUCUUCCGUAAGCUCGGCGAAAUAGCAGUAUCGGUGAGGAUUCCGAUUACCCGCGACAGGACAAAAAGACCCCGUGCACCUUUACUACAACCUGUCAUUGAACGUCGGUAUGACCUGCGUAGCAUAGGUGGGAGCCGUUGAUCUGGUCCUUUCGGGGAUCAGGGAGGCAACAGUGAAAUACCACCCUUGUUUUACUAACGUUCUCACUCGGACGGCAACACCGUCGAGGACCGUGGCAGGUGGGUAGUUUGACUGGGGCGGUCGCCUCCUAAAGAGUACCGGAGGCGCGCUAUGGUGGGCUCAGUGCGGUCGGUAAUCGCACGAUGAGUGUAUAAGCAGAAGCCCGCCUGACUGCGAGCGCGACGGCGCGAGCAGGGACGAAAGUCGGCUUAAGUGAUCCGGUGAUCCCGUGUGGAUGGGUCAUCGCUCAUCGGAUAAAAGGUACGCUGGGGAUAACAGGCUUAUCGCGCCCGAGAGUUCACAUCGACGGCGCGGUUUGGCACCUCGAUGUCGGCUUAUCACAUCCUGGGGCUGGAGAAGGUCCCAAGGGUCCGGCUGUUCGCCGGUUAAAGUGGUACAUGAGCUGGGUUCAGAACGUCGUGAGACAGUUCGGUCUGUAUCCGUCGUGGGCGUGGGAGUGUUGAGGGACGUCGUCUCUAGUACGAGAGGACCGAGACGAAGCGACCGCUCGUGUACGGGCUAUCCUGCCAAGGGUAUCGCCCGGUAGCGAUGUCGCGCGGAGAUAACCGCUGAAAGCAUCUAAGUGGGAAACUCUUCCCAAGAUGAACACUCCUGGACCUUAAGGUCCCUGAAGGGCCCUGGGAGACUACCAGGUUGAUAGGCCGCAGAUGUACGGCGCGCAAGCGCUUUAGUCGAGCGGUACUAAUCGCCCGUGAAGUUUGAUCU